GACGAACGCUGGCGGCGUGCCUAAUACAUGCAAGUAGAACGCUAAAGCUUGGUGCUUGCACCGAGCGGAUGAGUUGCGAACGGGUGAGUAACGCGUAGGUAACCUGCCUGGUAGCGGGGGAUAACUAUUGGAAACGAUAGCUAAUACCGCAUAAGAGUAGAUGUUGCAUGACAUUUGCUUAAAAGGUGCAAUUGCAUCACUACCAGAUGGACCUGCGUUGUAUUAGCUAGUUGGUGAGGUAACGGCGCACCAAGGCAACGAUACAUAGCCGACCUGAGAGGGUGGUCGGCCACACUGGGACUGAGACACGGCCCAGACUCCUACGGGAGGCAGCAGUAGUGAAUCGUCGGCAAUGGGCGGAAGUCUGACCGAGCAACGCCGCGGGAGUGAGGAAGGUUUUCGGAUCGUAAAGCUCUGUUGUAAGAGAAGAACGAGUGUGAGAGUGGAAAGUUCACACUGUGACGGUAUCGUACCAGAAAGGGACGGCUAACUACGUG
rnacentral:rRNA from 1 species